rnacentral:rRNA from 1 species
GACGAACGCUGGCGGCGUGCUUAACACAUGCAAGUCGAACGGUAAGGCCCUUCGGGGUACACGAGUGGCGAACGGGUGAGUAACACGUGGGUGAUCUGCCCUGCACUUCGGGAUAAGCCUGGGAAACUGGGUCUAAUACCGGAUAGGACCACUGCCUGCAUGGGUGGUGGUGGAAAGCUUUUGCGGCGUGGGAUGGGCCCGCGGCCUAUCAGCUUAUUGGUGGGGUGAUGGCCUAGCAAGGGGACGACGGGUAGCCGGCCUGAGCGGGUGAGCGGCCGCACUGGGGCUGGGAUGCGGACCGGACCCCUCCGGGAGGCAGCAGUGGGGAAUAGUGCACAACGGGCGCAAGCCUGGUGCAGCGACGCCGCGUGAGGGAGGACGGCCUUCGGGUUGUAAACCUCUUUCCGCACCGACGAGGCGCAAGUGACGGUAGGUGCAGAAUAAGGACCGGCCAACUACGUGCCAUCCGCCGCCGUAA